rnacentral:tRNA from 1 species
GCGGGAAUGGCGGAAUUGGCAGACGCGCAUGAUUCAGGUUCAUGUGCACGUACGUGCUUGCAGGUUCAAGUCCUGUUUCCCGCACCA